rnacentral:lncRNA from 1 species
GCUUAAGAGCAUAUACUGCUUGCACACAGGACAGGAGGAGCUCGUUUCCAGCAUCCAGUUUGGGCAGCUCACAACUGCAGGUAGCUCUAGCUUCAGGGCAUGUGACGCCCUCUUCUGGCCUCUGAGGAUGCCUGUAAACACCGCCCCCCAUAAUUAAAUCUAAAAAAUCUUUAAAAAAUGAACCUUUGCUCACCAGAAUGUCUUCUACUUCUGUAUUAUCUUGUUUUCUGACAGACACUUAGAAAUGAGAGUAAAUUAAUAGGGCUGGAGAUACAGCCUAGCCUAAAGCCCUGUGUUUGAUUCCUAGUACCUCAUAAAGCAGCUGUGCUGGCCCACUGCCUAUAAUUUGAGUCAUCAGGAGUUAGGAACAGGAGGGCCAGAAAUUCAAGGUCAUUCUCAUCUACAUAAGGAGUUACAGUCCCAGCCUAGGCUACAUAGAAUUCUAUCUCAGAGGGCAAGAGGGAAAGAAAAAGAAAAAGAAAAAGAAAAAGAAAAAGAAAAAGAAAAAGAAAAAAAAAACCCAGAAGGAAUUAAUGUCACUAUGAGGAUUGUCAGCCCAUGCAAUUGAAAGCUACUUCUGCUUUCAUCAGUGCAGUUGAAAGGAUAUACUGAGAGAUCAGCAGCCUUGGAGCCCACCCCAAGGACAAGUGCCAGGCUUCCUCCAUAGCCAGCCUUAUCCAUAAAGUCUCUUGAUGCUUAUGAACCAAGGCUACUGUACUAUGGCCAAGUAAGAUUUAGUGGCCAUAUGUGAAAGCAGAAUCCUGUCAAUACACAGCAGAUCAUAAGUCAAGGCUGAUGUAAACACCUGCUCUUGAGUACUGCAGCCAUUUCUCCUUUAGGAGAGAUUCCAACUUCUGCCAGCACCAGUGUGUCAGAUGGCAUGGAAUUCCCUGAUCUAACCCUCAGAAAGAGGGGCUAGCGCUUGGCUACUGCCUCCCUCAACCAUGAGAGACAGAAUCUGGUCUAUAAUGGCCGUGAGAAUUAGCUCAAAAGUCCAAAAACACCAGGUGGACUAACAUGUGGGCUUUUUUUUUUUUUUUGCCCUGUCCCUAAAAACCUAAUUCUGUAUAAAAUUGCCCAUCUUCUCAGAAAACAUAAACUUAACAGACUAGAAACCGGGGGUGGAGUAGGACUCCUUUGUCCUGGGAGAAUAGUACUUUUACUUCAAGUGUAUCAGAGCAAAUUAGGACUAUUAUUAGUGCUUGAACAGCAUGCUAGUGAUUGAGCAGGCCCUUAAAACAAGGGAGCCUACGGCUUCUGAAUAGACAGAUCUCUGAGUGAAUAGCCACCUCUCAGGUUGUUCUUUAGUCUCCGAGAAUAUGCACCUGCCUCUCAUUUCCAUUAAUGUCAUUAGGGGCUGCAUAUCACAUGCUACACAGCAUCAUCAGGGUCUUUAUUGCUGUCUUUUGAAAGGGAAUAAAAUCACGUCCCUUUCAUUCUCCUGAAGACGUUAUGUGUUAAAAUGAAAAGAGUCCUUGUGCUGUGCCCACUUACUUCCCAGAUAAAGUUUCCUGAGAAUGUGCCUAGCCUAAUUCUAAUUGAAACAAGCAAGUCCGUGUUCUUUGUUUAAACAUUUUCCUAUUUUAUUUGUGUCCCUGGUAGAAUCCUCUUAAAAGCCAGCUUAGAGGUUGGAAGU